AUGGCGCCGCCCUGCUGCUCUCCUUCCCUUCCUUCCCAUGGCGCCGCCCUGCUGCUCUCCUUCCCUUCCUCCCCAUGGCGCCCCCUGCUGCUCUCCUUCCCUUCCUUCCCAUGGCUCUGCCCUGCUCUUCCCCUUCCUCCCCAUGGCGCCCGCCUGCUCCUUCCCUUCCUCGCCAUAGUCGACGUUGCUACUGCUGCAGAUGGCUGGGCCAAGGACGACGGAGCGGCUGCCGUAGAGGGCGGCAUGUGCGGCGCGGCCAAGAACGACGGUCCAGGCCACCACAGCAUCAUCGACAACCUGUCUCGUUGCUCCUUCCCCAACCAGAUCCAGCCCCCUCACGGCCAUGAUGAACACAUAGUCAGAGAAUCUUCAGAUCCCCAACCAGGGUGCCUUCCUGUGCAAUCUAUUACAUCUGGUAGCCAAAUUUUCGAGGAGAAGAUUGCCGCCAAAGUGGACUACUUGAAGACCACGCUCAGGUGGUCUGCUGCUGAGGUGGGCAUCGCUGUGUCUAAGGCUCCGAUGCUGCUGAGGAGGUCAAAGGACACGCUGCAGAGCAAGUCCGAGUUCCUGGUAUCUGAGGUGGGCUUGGAACCAACCCUCAUUGCUCAUCGCCCGAUAGUGCUCACUUACAGCCUGGAGGGCCGGCUCAGGCCCCAGCACUACGUUCUAAAGUUUGUCAAGGCAAGUGGGUUGCUAGAUCGUGAUCACAGCUACAUCUGCGCGGUCGGUUUGACGGAGAAUAUUUUCGUGAAGAAGUUCGUGCGCCCUCACAUCGAAGAUGCGCCGCACCUUGCUGAAGACUAUGUGGCUGCUUGCCGAGGAGAAGUACCCACUAGGUUCAUAUUUGAUUGA
rnacentral:rRNA from 1 species